ensembl:lncRNA
UGACAAUCCUUUGGAGAUUGCAGCUGCGGCAUUCUGCCUCUCCAGGAAGGGCUUUUCCCAGGGCCGUUCUGGAGCCACAAAGUUGCCUUGAACUCCAGUCCCAAAGUGCAGGGAGACCCCCCUCCCACAGAGUCCUGCACCACAGGAAUUGUAGUCUCUAUUUUUAUUGAUGGGAGGAAAGCAAUUAAACCAACAUGCAGAAGGCCCACAGCAGCACAGACCAGCUUUGGAAACUUCCACCAUGACCCGUGUUCCUAUGAUGAAGUACCUGGGCCCCACAUGACAUCCCAGCCGCUGAGCUAGGGUGCACCUUAGUACAGCUUUGCCUCUGACUCGCUUCCUUGAAGGCAAAGGGGGAGAGGGGAGGUAAUGCACAGAUACAGUCGUCGUAAAAGUCAGUGUGGGCCGGCCACAUGAACGGAGCAAGACGAACUAUUUGCAGCAUAGAAUACUGUUUUCCUUUGGUCCUGGUGCCUUUCUGGAGUCACAAGCACCCCUAGACAAGACCAGAGGGGAAGAAGAGAACUAGCAGCAGGGCCUGUUUCCCCUGUGAAGCUGCCCACUGAGGAUAGUGUGUGCACAGAAUAUGCCAUUGCUGUGUUAGAUAAUCUGGAAGAAACAGCAGAGCAACUAAAGGCACUUGGAAAAGGAAACCCCAAAACCUGCCCUCCAUCAUUCUUCCUCUGUCACAGAGCACCUGAUGGUUUCCAGAACUGGGUUUUUAAAAUAAAAUAAAAUAAGGGGAAUGUAAUUUGAACA